CAUUUUUUCCAGCAUUUUUACAGACUUUGUAUUCACUGUUCAUCAACAAAAACUGAAUUGAUUGUGAAAUAAAUAAUGGAAUGAAUAAUGAAAUAGUUCCCGCCAAUCUCGGCUCCCUAAACUCGGAAUAAUAGUGCUUGGUCUAUUGUUCGGUAGGCGAAAUUUCGCAAGUGGUCCACGAGUGUAGUCCAUGGACCAGGUCCACAAAGGUAGUCCAUGGACCUGG